UUUAGGAGGAACAAAGAAAACGUGGUCUAGAAGUAGGGUAUUAAUAUGAUUCUCAAAUUUGAAUGAGCAUCUAGUUACAGCAGAUGUCCUAACUAGUGAGGUGUGAUGCCCAGAAAGAGUUUGACAAAUGGACUUCCUCAGGGAAGGGUCCCAACACACUGAGGUAACAAAACAGCAGGCAAACACAUAAAAUGUCCACUUAAUUUAUGCAACAGAGGAAAAGACAUGAGAGUUAAAGCUAAUAUAUCUGUAAAUCUCCAUCUAAUCAAUGUGCAAUGUGUUCAAACGCAGGCCCAUCACAGUAAUAUUGGUCCUACUCACCAUUCAUUUCGUUACUAUCCUCCAGCCAGUCAAUGACGCCCCUCUCUCAAUGGACUUCACAAUUCUCUGCCUAAACCAUGUCACGGCUUUCGUGUGCAGAAAUCCUUCACCGCUUUAAAAACCGGUACCGGAUUUCCGAAUAGCACAGGACUAACCGGCACAAUUUGUCGCAUACAUAAACCUACAACAGUGCUUUAAACCCAGCUCUCCUUCCGGCUGCUCGGGGAACAAUGGUGCAGCAUCAGACUGACAGCUCCACGGACAACGUGACUUACUCUGUCCAAUCGUGGUUUUAUAAACCAGGAAUCAGCCGCAGAGCACUGCUGCCUGCCCACUGUACGCUUCAAAUCCCACUGUGGAAUCAUGUGCGCCGACUGCUGCCAAAUAAGGUUAACGCUGGAUAUCCGGUGUCCUUCAUUUAACACUUCACAGUGGACAGAUCUAUGAAUAUUUUCCUUCCCAGCCCCCACAAAAAACAUUUUUGGCUAUUUCAGGAAAAACACUUCAGAGUCGCUGAUAGAGGCCCCUCCGCCUGCAAAGAAAGUGGAACCCUGUCGUGUGUGGUGACCUGUGUCCUCGCCCUCCUGUUGUCAGAGUACCUGGUGAUACAAUUGCGCCACAAUGGAAAUCCAAUCAAGAGAUGGACCAGGGUGAGUAGCAACCACUCUCCUGUCCCUCCCCUGUUGGCCUGCAUCGAUGAAUUAAUGUGAAGAGGAACUUUAAACACAUCUGGAUUAAAGCUACGUCAGUAUUUGAAGGUGGUCGGGGGAGAAGAAUAUCACCUUGACUUUCGCCAAAUGUAAGUACGAUGAUUGUUCUGUUUAUGGCUGUGCUUGUGUGUGAGACUGUGUGUUUGUGGAUGCAGUGAAGCUGAUAAUAGUGUGAGGUUAUUUUAUGGG
rnacentral:lncRNA from 15 species